UACGUAGGGGGCUAGCGUUGUCCGGAAUCAUUGGGCGUAAAGCGCGUGUAGGCGGUCCGGUAAGUCCGCUGUGAAAGUCGAGGGCUCAACCCUCGAAUGCCGGUGGAUACUGUCGGGCUUGAGUACGGGAGAGGCGAGUGGAAUUCCUGGUGUAGCGGUGAAAUGCGCAGAUAUCAGGAGGAACACCGAUUGCGAAGGCAGCUCGCUGGGACGUUACUGACGCUGAGACGCGAAAGCGUGGGGAGCGAACAGG
rnacentral:rRNA from 1 species